rnacentral:rRNA from 1 species
UAUUGGACAAUGGGCGAAAGCCUGAUCCAGCAAUACCGCGUGUGUGAAGAAGGCCUUAGGGUUGUAAAGCACUUUCAAUUGGGAGGAAAACCUGCCGGUCAAUACCCGGUAGCUUGACAUUACCUUUAGAAGAAGCACCGGCUAACUCCGUGCCAGCAGCCGCGGUAAUACGGAGGGUGCGAGCGUUAAUCGGAAUUACUGGGCGUAAAGCGUGCGUAGGCGGUUCGUUAAGUCAGAUGUGAAAGCCCUGGGCUCAACCUGGGAACUGCAUUUGAAACUGGCGGACUAGAGUUUAGUAGAGGGGAGUGGAAUUUCAGGUGUAGCGGUGAAAUGCGUAGAUAUCUGAAGGAACACCAGUGGCGAAGGCGACUCCCUGGACUAGAACUGACGCUGAGACGAA